rnacentral:rRNA from 1 species
AGCUAGUUGGUAGGGUAAUGGCCUACCAAGGCAACGAUGGUUAGCUGGUCUGAGAGGAUGAUCAGCCACACUGGAACUGAGACACGGUCCAGACUCCUACGGGAGGCAGCAGUGAGGAAUAUUGCGCAAUGGGGGCAACCCUGACGCAGCAACGCCGCGUGAGUGAGGAAGGUUUUCGGACCGUAAAGCUCUGUCGAGCGGGAAGAAAUGCAUAGUGGCUAAUAUCCAUUAUGCUUGACGGUACCGCUAAAGGAAGCACCGGCUAACUCCGUGCCAGCAGCCGCGGUAAUACGGGGGGUGCUAGCGUUGUUCGGAAUCAUUGGGCGUAAAGAGCGUGUAGGCGGCUGGAUAAGUCAGAUGUGAAAGCCCUGGGCUUAACCCAGGAAGUGCAUUUGAAACUGUUCAGCUUGAGUAAGGGAGAGGAAAGUGGAAUUCCUGGUGUAGAGGUGAAAUUCGUAGAUAUCAGGAGGAACACCGGUGGCGAAGGCGACUUUCUGGCCCUAUACUGACGCUGAGACGCGAGAGCGUGGGUAGCAAACAGGAUUAGAUACCCUGGUAGUCCACGCUGUAAACGAUGUUCACUAGGUGUUGGGGGUAUUGACCCUCUCAGUGCCGCAGCUAACGCA